UCAAUAAGCGGAGGAAAAGAAACUAACGAGGAUUCCCCUAGUAACUGCGAGUGAAGCGGGAAAAGCUCAAAUUUAAAAUCUGUUGGCAUUGGCCAUCCGAGUUGUAAUCUAGAGAAGUGUUACCCGUGCUGGACCGUGUACAAGUCUCCUGGAAUGGAGCAUCGCAGAGGGUGAGAAUCCCGUCUUUGACACGGACUACCAGUGCUUUGUGGUAUGCUCUCAAAGAGUCGAGUUGUUUGGGAAUGCAGCUCAAAAUGGGUGGUAAAUGCCAUCUAAAGCUAAAUAYUGGCGAGAGACCGAUAGCGAACAAGUACCGUGAGGGAAAGAUGAAAAGAACUUUGGAAAGAGAGUUAAACAGUACGUGAAAUUGCUGAAAGGGAAACGCUUGAAGUCAGUCGUGUUGACUUGAAAUCAACCCUGUUUCUGCUGGGUGUACUUUCUUGUCAAUGGGUCAGCAUCAAUUUUGACCGUUGGAUAAAGUUAUUGGGAAUGUGGCAUCUUUGGAUGUGUUAUAGCCUGAUGAUGCAUACAGCGGUUGGGAUUGAGGAACUCAGCACGCCGAAAAGGCCGGGUUUUGACCACGUCCGUGCUUAGGAUGCUGGCAUAAUGGCUUUAAUCGACCCGUCUUGAAACACGGACCAAGGAGUCUAACAUGCCUGCAAGUGUUUGGGUGGAAAACCCAUGCGCGCAAUGAAAGUGAAAGUUGAGAUCCCUCUUUUUUGGGGGAGCAUCGACGCCCGGACCAGACCUUUUGUGACGGAUCCGCGGUAGAGCAUGUAUGUUGGGACCCGAAAGAUGGUGAACUAUGCCUGAAUAGGGUGAAGCCAGAGGAAACUCUGGUGGAGGCUCGUAGCGAUUCUGACGUGCAAAUCGAUCGUCAAAUUUGGGUAUAGGGGCGAAAGACUAAUCGAA
rnacentral:rRNA from 1 species